rnacentral:rRNA from 1 species
GUCUACGGCCAUGCCACCCUGAACAAGCUCAAUCCCGUCUGAUCUUGGAAGCUAAGCAGGGUUGGGCCUUGUUAGUACUUGGAUGGGAGACCACCUAGGAAGACCAGGUGCUGUAGGUU